rnacentral:rRNA from 1 species
AGGACGAACGCUGGCGGCGUGCUUAACACAUGCAAGUCGAGCGGUAAGGCCUUUCGGGGUACACGAGCGGCGAACGGGUGAGUAACACGUGGGUGAUCUGCCCUGCACUUCGGGAUAAGCCUGGGAAACUGGGUCUAAUACCGGAUAUGACCUCCUAUCGCAUGGUGGGUGGUGGAAAGAUUUAUCGGUGCAGGAUGGGCCCGCGGCCUAUCAGCUUGUUGGUGGGGUAAUGGCCUACCAAGGCGACGACGGGUAGCCGACCUGAGAGGGUGACCGGCCACGACUGGGACUGAGACACGGCCCAGACUCCUACGGGAGGCAGCAGUGGGGAAUAUUGCACAAUGGGCGAAAGCCUGAUGCAGCGACGCCGCGUGAGGAUGACGGCCUUCGGGUUGUAAACCUCUUUCAGCGAGGACGAAGCGCAAGUGACGGUACCUGCAGAAGAAGCACCGGCUAACUACGUGCCAGCAGCCGC